UCAGACACUGGAACAGGCUACUUAGUGAAGUGUAUGAUGCCCUUCACUUUUUUGCAGCUCCUGACUUGUGGGAGAGGCAAGGACCCUUCUGUGUGCAUGCAUGUGCAUGAAGCCUCUGGAAGACCACGGCAGGGAACCUAGUGCUGAUCUGGUGUGCUCGUUUAGUGUAAAAUCCAUCAGCAAAGUUCUGCCAAAUAGAUCUGAAGCGAGGAAGGACACAAACUCAGCCAUAACACCCUGGUUUGGAAGGCCAUAGAGAAGCACCAUCUCUUCAGAAGAGUAACUCCCAUUUUGCUGACCAAUGCCUUUUUCAACACAGGCCUUCCUAAAGUAUGUCUGUGGAAAGUCCUGCUGUGAAUUUAGAAACUCCUACAUUGGAGUUUUAGUUCUCAGCUGAUCGGGAAAAGUUGAAAUUUUUUUGUGUGAAAUCUAAUGUUUGAUAGAAAUGUGGAACUGUUAAAUUAUACCACAUGGAUAUAGCUCAGAGCAAAAAGCAGCAAAACCACUAAAUUCCUACAUAUAUGCUUUGUGCAAGUACAGAGGAUGCCUGUAUAAAACUAAUUAACUUGGCUUAAUAGCACAAGGUUAUUAAAAACACAGGCUCAU
rnacentral:lncRNA from 7 species